rnacentral:rRNA from 1 species
UACGUAGGGCGCAAGCGUUGUCCGGAAUUAUUGGGCGUAAAGAGCUCGUAGGCGGCUUGUCACGUCCGGUGUGAAAGCCCGGGGCUUAACCCCGGGUCUGCAUUCGAUACGGGCUAGCUAGAGUGUGGUAGGGGAGAUCGGAAUUCCUGGUGUAGCGGUGAAAUGCGCAGAUAUCAGGAGGAACACCGAGGGCGAAGGCAGGUCUCUGGGCCACUACUGACGCUGAGAAGCGAAAGCGUGGGGAGCGAACAGG